CCUACGGGAGACAGCAGUGAGGAAUAUUGGUCAAUGGGCGGGAGCCUGAACCAGCCAAGCCGCGUGAGGGAAGAAGGUACAGCGUAUCGUAAACCUCUUUUGUCAGGGAACAAAGGCGGGGACUAGUCCCCGGAUGAGGGUACCUGAAGAAAAAGCAUCGGCUAACUCCGUGCCAGCAGCCGCGGUAAUACGGAGGAUGCGAGCGUUAUCCGGAUUUAUUGGGUUUAAAGGGUGCGCAGGCGGCCUGUUAAGUCAGCGGUAAAAGCCCGGGGCUCAACCCCGGCGAGCCGUUGAAACUGGCUGGCUGGAGUUGGAGAGAGGUACGCGGAAUGCGCGGUGUAGCGGUGAAAUGCUUAGAUAUCGCGCAGAACCCCGAUUGCGAAGGCAGCGGACCGGCUCCACACUGACGCUGAGGCACGAAAGCGUGGGUAUCGAACAGGAUUAGAUACCCCAGUAGUC
rnacentral:rRNA from 1 species